CAUCUUGAAAUAAUUAUUGAUUUACACACAACUUUGAGAAAUAAUACAUGGAGGAUUCCUGUACUCGUUACACAGUUUAUCCCAGUGCUAACAUCUAACAUAGCAAUAGUAAAAUAUUACUAUUAGAAAACUGACAUUGGUAUAGUACACCAACUUUAUUAGUAUUUUCUCAAAUUGACUUGUAUGAAUAUGCAUAUUUAGUUCUACACAAAUUUGUUACAUGUAUAAUCUAUGUAACUGCCUGAGUUAAGAUAGAGCACUGUACAAUCUUCACAAGGAUUAUUUUUGAUAGCCACAUCAAUCUUUGCCUCUAUCCCUUGGUCCUUAGUUCCUGGCAACCACUAAUUUUCUCAGCAUCUCUAUAAUUUUGUCAGUUCAAGAAUGUUAUAUAAAUGGAAUUACACAGUAUGUAACUUUUUAAAAUGGACUUUUGUCACUUGGUGCAAAGCCUUUGAGAUUUAUCAGGUCAUUUUAUAUAUUAAUAGUCCUUUCCUUUCUAUUACUAGUAUUCUGUAGUAUGGAUGUAGCAGAGUUGGUUAAUCAUUCACCCACUGAAGGACAUUUGAAUUGUUUCCAGUAUGGUGCUUUUAUAAUAAAACUACAAUGAACGUUUGUAUGUGAGUUUUCCAGUUAACGUAAGUUUUCAUUUUCCUGGAAAAAAAUACUUAUUAUGGACUGAAUAUUUGUGUCCUCUCAAAGUUCAUAUUAGGAGGGGGCACCUGUGAGACAUAAUCAUGUUUAGAUCAUACCAUGAGAAUGGAUACCUCAUGAUAGAAUCAGUUCUCUUAUAAGAACAGACAACAAAACACUUGCUUUCUCUCUCUGUUCCAUGUGAAGGUACAUGUGCCAUGUGAAGAAGCUGGUCACCCGUAAACCAGGAAGAGAGCCCCACCAGGGAUCUGAAGUGGCUGGCAUCUUGAUUGUAGACUUCACAAUCCUCAGAACAAUUUUACAGAAUGACACAUUGGGGAAGUCCAGUAAUUCAAGUGUUUGGCUAACAAUCAUCAAGGCCACAGAAACCCAGCCUCUGCUCUUGGCAGUAUCAGGAACUUCAUGGAAUACAUCACUUUCAAAUUGCAGCUGCAAAUGGUCUUGUUAAAGGUAAUUCAGCAACAUCAGUCAAGAUGUUGCUUGACACACAAUGGAGGAGAUUGGAAAUAAUGCAUUCCUUCAGUAAACCAUUCCGCCUGUUUUUUCUAAUGAUGCAGUCCUUUCUCAGGCAAUUUUCCAGAGUUACGUAGACAACUAAAUUCACACGGACCAAAAGAGGAAAAAAAAAUCUAAUUGGAAUAAAAUCAGUUGAACUUAUUAUACUGAGACUGAAAGAUAGAAGAAAGAAUAGGGAGAAAAGUUUUAGAAAUAUGUAUGUCAAAGAAUGGUCUAGUUACCAGCAUAAUUAGAAUCCAAAAGAAAAAAGAAAAAA
rnacentral:lncRNA from 1 species